UACGUAGGGUGCAAGCGUUGUCCGGAAUUAUUGGGCGUAAAGAGCUCGUAGGCGGUUUGUCGCGUCGAAUGUUAAAACCCGGGGCUCAACCCCGGGCCUGCAUUCGAUACGGGCAGACUAGAGUUCGGUAGGGGAGUCUGGAAUUCCUGGUGUAGCGGUGAAAUGCGCAGAUAUCAAGCGGAACACCGGUGGCGAAGGCGGCCUUCUGGACAGUGACUGACGCUGAGACGCGAAAGCGUGGGGAGCAAACAGG
rnacentral:rRNA from 1 species